rnacentral:rRNA from 1 species
CUUACCUGCAGUCGACGAUGACCCAGCUUGCUGGGGGAUUAGUGGCGAACGGGUGAGUAACACGUGAGUAACCUGCCCUUGACUCUGGGAUAAGCCUGGGAAACUGGGUCUAAUACCGGAUAUGACCUUCCAUCGCAUGGUGGUUGGUGGAAAGCUUUUGUGGUUUUGGAUGGACUCGCGGCCUAUCAGCUUGUUGGUGGGGUAAUGGCCUACCAAGGCGACGACGGGUAGCCGGCCUGAGAGGGUGACCGGCCACACUGGGACUGAGACACGGCCCAGACUCCUACGGGAGGCAGCAGUGGGGAAUAUUGCACAAUGGGCGCAAGCCUGAUGCAGCGACGCCGCGUGAGGGAUGACGGCCUUCGGGUUGUAAACCUCUUUCAGUAGGGAAGAAGCGAAAGUGACGGUACCUGCAGAAGAAGCGCCGGCUAACUACGUGCCAGCAGCCGCGGUAAUACGUAGGGCGCAAGCGUUAUCCGGAAUUAUUGGGCGUAAAGAGCUCGUAGGCGGUUUGUCGCGUCUGCCGUGAAAGUCCGGGGCUCAACUCCGGAUCUGCGGUGGGUACGGGCAGACUAGAGUGAUGUAGGGGAGACUGGAAUUCCUGGUGUAGCGGUGAAAUGCGCAGAUAUCAGGAGGAACACCGAUGGCGAAGGCAGGUCUCUGGGCAUUAACUGACGCUGAGGAGCGAAAGCAUGGGGAGCGAACAGGAUUAGAUACCCUGGUAGUCCAUGCCGUAAACGUUGGGCACUAGGUGUGGGGGACAUUCCACGUUUUCCCCGCCGUAGCUAACGCAUUAAGUGCCCCCGCCUGGGGAGUACGGCCGCAAGGCUAAAACUCAAAGGAAUUGACGG